GGGCGAUUAGCUCAGGGGGAGAGCGCCUUCCUGACACGGAGGAGGUCAGUGGUUCGAAUCCACUAUCGCCCA
rnacentral:tRNA from 5 species